CGAACGCUGGCGGCGUGGAUAAGACAUGCAAGUCGAACGAGAGAAUUGCUAGCUUGCUAAUAAUUCUCUAGUGGCGCACGGGUGAGUAACACGUGAGUAACCUGCCCCCGAGAGCGGGAUAGCCCUGGGAAACUGGGAUUAAUACCGCAUAGUAUCGAAAGAUUAAAGCAGCAAUGCGCUUGGGGAUGGGCUCGCGGCCUAUUAGUUAGUUGGUGAGGUAACGGCUCACCAAGGCGAUGACGGGUAGCCGGUCUGAGAGGAUGUCCGGCCACACUGGAACUGAGACACGGUCCAGACACCUACGGGUGGCAGCAGUCGAGAAUCAUUCACAAUGGGGGAAACCCUGAUGGUGCGACGCCGCGUGGGGGAAUGAAGGUCUUCGGAUUGUAAACCCCUGUCAUGUGGGAGCAAAUUAAAAAGAUAGUACCACAAGAGGAAGAGACGGCUAACUCUGUGCCAGCAGCCGCGGUAAUACAGAGGUCUCAAGCGUUGUUCGGAAUCACUGGGCGUAAAGCGUGCGUAGGCUGUUCCGUAAGUCGUGUGUGAAAGGCGCGGGCUCAACCCGCGGACGGCACAUGAUACUGCGAGACUAGAGUAAUGGAGGGGGAACCGGAAUUCUCGGUGUAGCAGUGAAAUGCGUAGAUAUCGAGAGGAACACUCGUGGCGAAGGCGGGUUCCUGGACAUUAACUGACGCUGAGGCACGAAGGCCAGGGGAGCGAAAGGGAUUAGAUACCCCUGUAGUCCUGGCAGUAAACGGUGCACGCUUGGUGUGCGGGGAAUCGACCCCCUGCGUGCCGGAGCUAACGCGUUAAGCGUGCCGCCUGGGGAGUACGGUCGCAAGAUUAAAACUCAAAGAAAUUGACGGGGACCCGCACAAGCGGUGGAGUAUGUGGCUUAAUUCGAUGCAACGCGAAGAACCUUACCUGGGCUUGACAUGUAAUGAACAACAUGUGAAAGCAUGCGACUCUUCGGAGGCGUUACACAGGUGCUGCAUGGCCGUCGUCAGCUCGUGUCGUGAGAUGUUUGGUUAAGUCCAGCAACGAGCGCAACCCCUGUUGCCAGUUACCAGCACGUGAAGGUGGGGACUCUGGCGAGACUGCCCAGAUCAACUGGGAGGAAGGUGGGGACGACGUCAGGUCAGUAUGGCCCUUAUGCCCAGGGCUGCACACGUACUACAAUGCCCAGUACAGAGGGGGCCGAAGCCGCGAGGCGGAGGAAAUCCUGAAAACUGGGCCCAGUUCGGACUGUAGGCUGCAACCCGCCUACACGAAGCCGGAAUCGCUAGUAAUGGCGCAUCAGCUACGGCGCCGUGAAUACGUUCCCGGGUCUUGUACACACCGCCCGUCACAUCAUGGAAGCCGGUCGCACCCGAAGUAUCUGAAGCCAACCGCAAGGAGGCAGGGUCCUAAGGUGAGACUGGUAACUG
rnacentral:rRNA from 1 species